rnacentral:rRNA from 1 species
CGGGSGGSMGCCUAAMCAUGCAAGUCGAACGGUAACAGRAARCAGCUUGCUGMUUUGCUGACGAGUGGCGGACGGGUGAGUAAUGUCUGGGAAACUGCCUGAUGGAGGGGGAUAACUACUGGAAACGGUAGCUAAUACCGCAUAACGUCGCAAGACCAAAGAGGGGGACCUUCGGGCCUCUUGCCAUCGGAUGUGCCCAGAUGGGAUUAGCUAGUAGGUGGGGUAAAGGCUCACCUAGGCGACGAUCCCUAGCUGGUCUGAGAGGAUGACCAGCCACACUGGAACUGAGACACGGUCCAGACUCCUACGGGAGGCAGCAGUGGGGAAUAUUGCACAAUGGGCGCAAGCCUGAUGCAGCCAUGCCGCGUGUAUGAAGAAGGCCUUCGGGUUGUAAAGUACUUUCAGCGGGGAGGAAGGGAGUAAAGUUAAUACCUUUGCUCAUUGACGUUACCCGCAGAAGAAGCACCGGCUAACUCCGUGCCAGCAGCCGCGGUAAUACGGAGGGUGCAAGCGUUAAUCGGAAUUACUGGGCGUAAAGCGCACGCAGGCGGUUUGUUAAGUCAGAUGUGAAAUCCCCGGGCUCAACCUGGGAACUGCAUCUGAUACUGGCAAGCUUGAGUCUCGUAGAGGGGGGUAGAAUUCCAGGUGUAGCGGUGAAAUGCGUAGAGAUCUGGAGGAAUACCGGUGGCGAAGGCGGCCCCCUGGACGAAGACUGACGCUCAGGUGCGAAAGCGUGGGGAGCAAACAGGAUUAGAUAYCCCUGGUAGUCCACGCCGUAAMGAUGUCGACUUGKAGGUUUGUGCCCUUGAGGCGUGGCUUCCGGAGCUAACGCGUUAGUCGACCGCCUGGGGAGUACGGUCGCAGGUUAAAYUCAAAUGAMUUGACGGGGSCCGCACAASCGUGGAGCAUGUGSUUUAUUCGAUGCWACGYGAAGAACCUUACCUGUYYUGACAUCCMSGGARUUUUCAGARAUGAGAAUGYGCCUUCUGGAACCGUGCRAMAGYGCUGYAUGGCUKGCCSUCAKYUCKCGUUGUG